GAACCAAGUAUUCAGCCAAGGGCUUCAGGAUGGGUCAGUGGUUAGAGGCUGGUGGGAAUAGGUCUGGUCUUCCAUAUCAUCUUAAAUAGAGAGCACAGAGGCCCCUUUUCUGGAUCCAGGAUGAUGGAGAAGCAUUCAUCCUAGCCCGGCAUCUCUUUACCCCUGUGUGUGGUUGAGGGAGCAGGGGUGGAGUGGGGUGAGGAAGAGAGCACAGAUACCCAAUUCUAAAGCAAAGACACAUGGGUUCACGUCAGAGAAAUCAACUUUAUUUGGUGGAAAAGCGGCUCUCGUGUAAAAUAAACACCUAUCCAGAUCUGGUCUGGGAAACCUUUUUGAAUGCCCCAGGAAGGCAGGGACAUCCCAGAUCUGAGGAUGGGUUGAGGGAUUUCUGCCUCACAGAGAGGGCGGGAGAUUUCCUUCCACUCUAGGGGACACGUGAGCAGAGUGUGUGGAAGGUCUGUUCUUGGAGAUGUCUUAAACACGUCAGAGACUGGGAAUGAAGUAGUCCUCAGCCAGGGUCAGAGGUCAGGAGGGCUCUGUCACUGCUGUCUGUGGAAUCAGGAUGCAGGAUGAGUACACAUGAGUAUGCUCAGGACAGCCCUGAAGCCCAGUUCCCCGCUCCCAGGGCAGCAACCUGGUGAAGAGUUAAAGGAAGUUCUCGGACUCUGCAGGGGUGAAGCCACGGGUGAUGUGUCACUCCACGCUUGAGCUGGGCCAGGCUAGGUCCAGGCAGGAAAAGGAGGAUUAGCCUGAGCCCCACCACCUGCCAUCCAGCCCCUCCCUCCUACUCUGAAGUGACACUCUACUCACAGAAGCGGAGCGGGACCCAGCCUCCUCAUCGGGGUCUUCUGCUUCUGUCUCACUGUAGCAGUCUAAGGCUGUAGUUGGAGAGAUUGAUAAGCCCUUCGGCCUUUUCAUCCUGGGGGAUCACAACACGAGGGUCAGCAUGGAGCCCUGGGCCCUCAAGACUCGGCCAGCUCCCUAGUUAACCCCUCGGGUUCCUGGAGCUCAGGGCUGAAGAUCAAGGGGCACUUGUAGGCAGGGAAGGGGGAGCAAAGGUAUCCAGAGAAACAGCCAAAGGGGAGGAGUCCUGCUCAGG
rnacentral:lncRNA from 1 species